UGAAUUUUGAGAGAGAACCGGCAGGAGAGAAAGGGAGAAAGAAGAAGAAGAAGAGAAAAGAGGGAAAUUAGAAAGGAAAUAGAAAGGAGUUGGAGGAAAUAAGUAAAAAGGUAAGAUUUAGGUUGUUAAAUGUGUAAAUUUGUAUUAUUGAGCUUUUAAUUUUGGUUUUGAUAAAUGUUAGGGUUUUGAAAAUUUGUGUUUUGGGUUUAAUUGAUGAAUUAAAUUGAAUGUUAUAAGGUUGAUUGUUAUGGGUAAUUGAUUAAUGAGUUGAUUAUGGAAGAUUGUGAUGAUUUUGAGUUAUGAAUUGUGUAAAUGGUGAAUGUUGAGUUAGAAAUUUGGCAAGAACAGUAGGUUUCUGUUAAAAAUUCUGGGUUGGAGGUUGAAGAUGACGAAAAUUCAAUUUGGUCCCUCAAUUUUGGAAAAUUACAGUUUAGUCCCCAAACUUUGGAAAAUUUGCAGAUUGGUCCCUGGAGCAUAUUCCGAGAUUCUGAACAGAAUAACAUAUGAAUUAUGGACAGAAUUACUGUAUAGAUAAGAGAAUUUAACACUUUCAAUUUAGUCCUUCAAUUUGACAAAAUUACAAUUUAACCCUAAAAAUUUGGUAAAAUUCCAGAAUGGUCCUUGGAGUAUAAUGAGAUGAUCUGGACAGAAAUGAGGACUAAUUAUGGUCAGAAUUUCAGUAUAUUCAUGGAUUUAUGAUAAAUUUCAGUUUGGUCCUCCAAUUAGACAAAAAUUGCAAUUUGACCCUUAAAAAUAGGAUAAAUUACAGAUUAGUCCCUAGCUGUAAUACUAGCUUUUGCAGAUUGGUUUGAUGAAUAAUUAAGGGUUAUUUAGUGAAUUAUUGCCAAUUUUAUUAGUUGUUUUAUUAUGGAUUAGAUUUCGGGAAAACCGUUAAAUGUUGGGUUUUUAGGAAAGAUAACUAGUUAGUUCAAAAACAUAUAGGGUUAUGGAAUACACCCUUAGUUAAGUGUAUUAAAUAAGUUAAAUAUUCUUUCAAGUCGUUCUUGAAUAUGUCUCCUUUAUAUUCAGAUAAUCCUGAUAUUCUACCGGCGGGACGUCAGUAGGAUUUUCUUCGAUAUCAGCUUUGAGUUUUGUUGCUUUUGAGUCAGGUGAGUGGAUAAUUUUUCAUAUGCAUGAGAAAUAGUAUAAAUAUUUGAUUUGUUAAUAUGAAUUGAGUCAUGCUUCUUGAUAAUAUAUAUGUUGAUUAUUAUCCUUGUUUUGAUAAAGCAUGAUCAAUUGUUGAAUCUGAAUUCUUGAUAUGAACCAGUAUAUAUUUUGAAUUGAAUUCUGAAUUGAUAGCUCCUCAUUUGAUUGAUGUCAUGAGUUGAGCCUUGAGAUAUUAAUAUGUCUGUUUGAUUAUGAUUAUGAACCUAUGGUAUGUCAGUCAGAAUACCCAUGCUAACAGGGUAGUGUUAGUCUUUGUGCACAUCGUAUCUGAACCCUAGUUGGUCGGGGGAGUCACCAACCUGUGUGGACUGAUCAUCCCACAGUACGGAGCCUCAUGCUCAUUGCAUUUUGAUUUUCUGACGAGCUUUACCAUAUGAUAUUCUUGUUAUGGCCUAUUUGAGAAACCUUUCUAUAAGAACCUAGAGCCAUACUUGUAUAUAUAUUUCUCAUUGCUGUAUUACCUCGUGUGUGUAUAUUGAACGUUAUCUACUCACUGAGUUGUUGAACUCACCCUCUCAUUAUUUAUCCUUUUCAGGCUUAUAGCUUGAUAGCAGGUCACUUUUGUUGGACUUUCCGAACCUGCUCUUUUGGUUGUAAUUUGUACAUUUUCCUUUAUGUCUAGUUAGUGCUCCAAAACUCCGAAUUUAUAUUAACUCUUGUAUUAAGACAAUUCAAUUAUAUUAUGAAGUUGAUUUUGUUAUUAAUGCUGCGUUGAACUCUGAUUGAGUUAGGAUAAGUUUGUGUGUAAGUUUGGGUUCGCAUAGGUAUGGAACCUUGGAGGGGAACCUUGCCUAUGUGCCGGUCAUGGAUCCGGGAUUCGGGUCGUGACAAACUUGGUAUCAGAGCUUUAGGUUAAAAAACAAUAAUAUAAUUAAAUUCGUAAUAAGUGGAGCAUUAGGAUCCGUGUUGUCUUGUUUGUUGUCUUUGAAAUUCUGAAUUCUCAUUAAGCAUGUCUUCUUCCUUGUGAUAGAUAUGCUUUCCUAUAAUUCUGUGGUAAUUAUCAUGCUAUUGUUCUAGCAUGACUUGAGUGCUCUCAUUUUUAUUUUAGGAAAUGCUGACGAAUAGACGAAUAGCUGAUACUGUUAGAGUAGAGGAUGAUCAGGAUAAUGUCCCUAUUGGGCGGUUGAGAACUGCAAGGCAGAGAAGGAGGCGCGGUGCACCCGUGCCUCAACAUGUUGAGGAGGUACCUCCACCAGUGGAGGAAGAGCCUCAGGAGAUAGAAGAGGAAGAUAUUGUUGAUGAAACAGGUGUGGGGGUAGCUGACCCUGAACCUGUUACAGAGUUUCAGCAACUUAGCCAGGUUGUGCGGACCUGGAUAGAGUUUUCUAUGGAGAGAGAUAGAAGGAGGGAUAGAGAUGUACCCUCGACAUCCCACACUGUUCAGGGAGUUAAUGUGCCGUUGAAUGACUUCAUGAAGUUGGCACCUCCUAUUUUUACUGGGAUGGAUAGUUCAGAGGAUCCUCAGAGGUUCCUAGAUGAUAUUUGGCGACGGUGUGAAGCUUUGGGAUGUACAGACCACCGAGCUGUGAGUUUGGCAUCGUUCAGGUUGGAAGGAGAUGUGGCAAUCUCUUGGUUUGAGUCUAGGAAAAGAGCAAGACCAGUAGAGGCUCAGUGGACAUGGAAGGAGUUUAGCUCCAUGUUCUUAGACAGGUUUCUCCCUCAGAGCGUCAGAGAUGCUCGACUUUAUGAGUUUGAGAGGCUAUCUCAGGGGAGCAUGACAGUGGAUGAGUAUGAUCUGAAGUUUACUCAGCUGUCUAGGUAUGCAGAACAUCUUCUACCCACUGAGGAGUGGAGGGUGAAGAGGUUUAUUAGAGGACUCAAAUCCUCUAUGUAUAAGGUGAUGGUGUCACAGGUGUUUCCAUCAUACUCUUUAGCUGUUGAUAGCGCCAGAUUGAUAGAGGCGCGAGAAUUGGAGGAUAUGACUGCAGGCCAGUCUAAGAGGCCUAGAGAAGAGGGUCAGUCUUUUAGGCAACAGGGAUUAAGUGCAGGUCCGUCUAGGGGACGAAGUGGCCGUCAGGGCUCAUGGGUUCAGAGGAGGUUUAGACAGAGACCGUCAGUUAGUGGCUCAGGCGGUCAGAGUGGCAGUAGUGGUACUCAGAGUUUAGUUCAGACUGCACCUCGUAGUUCAUUUGUUUCACCUAGUGAUAGUUCUUCAUGUCAGCAUUGUGGAGGAAGUCAUACUAGUGCAGAGUGCUACAGAAGGACUGGGGCUUGUUUUAGUUGUGGCCAGAUAGGUCAUAAGAUCAGAGAGUGCCCGAGGAGACAGUUGUCAGCUUCGGGGUUAUCUGCUUCAGUCCAACAUCCUAUUCAGGCACCAUCGACGAGCCAGUCUGUGGCUCAUGGGGGUAGAGGUUUUGGUGGCCGUGGUCAGAGAGGCCGGGGUGCAGGUGAUAGAGGUCAGAUACAGCAGGGUCAGGGGCAUGCUAGAGUUUUUGCCUUGACUCAGCAGGAUGCUCAGGCAUCCAACACAGUUGUUUCAGGUAUUCUUCCUGUUUGCUCUUUUGAAGCAAAAAUGUUGUUUGAUACGGGUGCAACCCAUUCAUUUAUGUCCCCAUAUUUUGCCAUGAGGUUAGAUAAACAACCAACCUUGUUAAAAUCCCCCAUUUCAGUCUCCACUCCCUUAGAUGAAUUAAUAUUAGUGAAGUAUGUGUAUCUGGAUUGUGAAAUAGAGAUUGGAGAUAAAAAUUUUAUGGGAGACUUAAAUGUCUUAGAUAUGGUUGAUUUUGAUGUGAUUUUGGGAAUGGAUUGGUUGGCAAAGCAUAGGGCUUCGGUAAAUUGUUGGGGUAAGAAAAUAAUAUUUGAUCUAGAUGAAGAAGUUGGGUUGGUAUUUCAAGGAGAUAAGAUUGGGUCUCCAUCAAUUAUGUUGUCGGCUAUCUCGAGGAAAAUGGCCAGAAAAGGGGUACAGUGCUACCUAGCAUAUAUAGUGGAUGUAGAGAAAGAAGUUUCCCAGUUAGACCAAGUCCCUAUAGUUAGGGAGUUUAUCGAUGUCUUUCCCGAUGACUUACCUGGAUUGCCUCCAUAUAGGGAGAUUGAGUUUUGCAUUGAUUUGGUUCCGGGUACCGAACCAAUAUCAAUGGCACCAUAUAGAAUGGCGCCAGCAGAAUUGAGGGAGCUAAAGGAGCAACUGCAGGAUUUGUUAGAUAAAAAGUUCAUCCGACCAAGUGUGUCCCCUUGGGGAGCCCCAAUGUUGUUUGUGAAGAAGAAAGAUGGGUCAUUGAGGUUGUGUAUAGAUUAUAGGCAACUGAAUCGGGUGACUGUUCGAAAUAGAUACCCACUCCCUCGCAUUGAUGAUUUGUUUGACCAGUUGCAGGGAGCUCAAUUCUUUUCUAAGAUCGAUCUUCGAUCUGGGUAUCAUCAGUUGAGGAUUAGGGAGUCAGACAUUUUGAAGACAGCUUUUAGAACUCGGUAUGGUCAUUAUGAGUUCUUAGUGAUGUCUUUUGGGUUGACGAAUGCACCAGCAGCUUUUAUGGAUUUGAUGAAUAGAGUGUUUGGCCAGUUUAUUGAUCAAUUUGUGAUAGUUUUUAUUGAUGAUAUUUUGGUGUAUUCGAGGUCUAAAGAGGAGCAUGAGCAGCACUUGAGAAUGGUGCUUCAAACUCUGCGAGAACAUCAGUUGUAUGGCAAGUUCUCAAAGAGUGAGUUUUGGUUGGAGAGUGUAGCAUUUCUUGGGCAUGUAGUGUCAAGGAAUGGGAUUGAGGUUGAUCCUCAAAAGAUUGAAUCAGUUAAGCAGUGGCUUAGGCCUACUUCGGCGACAGAGAUUAGAAGUUUCUUAGGUUUGGCCGGCUAUUAUCGGAGGUUUGUGGAGAACUUUUCUCGGAUUUCUGCACCAUUGACUAAGUUAACGCAGAAAAAUGUUAAGUUUCAGUGGUCUGAAGCUUGUGAGAAAAGUUUCUUAGAGUUGAAAGAGAGAUUGACUACAGCGCCUGUUCUAGCAGUACCAUCAGGUUCUGGUGGUUACACAGUGUAUUGUGAUGCUUCGAGAGUGGGGUUAGGAUGUGUUCUAAUGCAGCAUGGCAAGGUUAUUGCCUAUGCUUCACGGCAGCUGAAGAAGCAUGAACAGAACUAUCCUACACAUGAUUUAGAGAUGGCGGCUGUAAUUUUUGCCUUGAAGAUUUGGAGGCACUACUUGUAUGGUGAAACUUGUGAGAUCUUCACAGAUCACAAGAGUUUGAAAUACAUCUUUCAGCAAAGGGAUCUAAACAUGAGGCAAAGGAGAUGGAUGGAACUGCUGAAGGAUUAUGAUUGUACCAUACAUUACCACCCGGGUAAGGCAAAUGUAGUUGCCGAUGCUUUGAGUAGAAAAUCAUCAGGGAGCUUAGCUCAUAUUCAGGAGGUACGAAGACCUCUGAUUAGGGAGCUGCAUGAGUUGGUGGAUGAAGGAGUCAGAUUUGAUCUUAGUAAAGCUGGAGCAAUGAUUGCUCAUUUUCAGGUUAAGUCAAAUUUGUUUGAUAAGAUAAAAGCAGCUCAGAAGAAAGAUGAUUCACUACUCAGGAUUAGAAAUGAGGUUGAGCAGGGUAAGGCUGCAGGUUUUGUGAUAGGUGAUGAUGAUGUGCUGAGAUAUAGGGAUAGGCUUUGUGUACCUGAUGUAGAUGAUCUGAGGAGAGAAUUGAUGGUAGAGGCACAUCAGACAGUUUACACAAUGCAUCCAGGUUCCACCAAGAUGUAUAAAGACCUUAAGGUGUGUUAUUGGUGGAAUAGGAUGAAGGCUGAUGUAGCAGACUUUGUUUCUAGGUGUUUGACCUGUCAGAGGGUAAAGGGUGAACACCAGAAACCUCCUGGAUUGUUGCAACCAUUGUUGAUUCCAGAAUGGAAGUGGGAAAGGAUCACAAUGGACUUUGUGACAGGAUUGCCUAGGAGUCAGGAGGGUUAUGAUUCAAUAUGGGUGAUUGUUGACAGGUUGACAAAAUCAGCCCAUUUUCUGCCAGUUAGGAUUACUUAUGGAUAUGCAAAGUUGGCAGAAUUAUUUAUUAGUGAGAUUGUACGGUUGCAUGGAGUGCCAAUCUCGAUAGUGUCUGAUAGAGGUCCACAGUUUACAUCGCGGUUUUGGGUGAAAUUCCAAGAAGCUAUGGGUACUAAAGUGCAGUUGAGUACAGCUUUUCACCCUCAGACAGAUGGUCAAUCUGAGAGGACUAUUCAGAUCUUGGAGGAUAUGCUAAGGGCUUGUGUCAUGGAUUUUGGAGUUGGUUGGAGUAAGUUUCUACCAUUAGUGGAAUUUGCUUACAACAACAGUUAUCAGGCUAGCAUAGAGAUGGCACCUUAUGAGGCUUUGUAUGGUCGGAAGUGUAGAUCACCGGUUUGUUGGUUUGAGGUUGGUGAGAAGAGGCUAAUGGGACCAGAGUUGAUUCAGAUUACCUCAGAGAAGAUAGAGGUAAUUAGAAAUAAGCUUCAAACAGCUCAGAGCAGACAAAAGAGUUACGCAGAUAAAAGAAGGCGUGACUUAGAGUUUUCAGUGGGUGACUGUGUGUUCUUAAAAGUAUCACCGACAAAAGGAGUAUUCAGGUUUGGGAAGAAAGGCAAGUUGAGUCCUCGGUUCAUUGGACCGUAUGAGAUUCUGGAGAGAGUUGGGGCAGUUGCUUAUAGGUUAGCAUUACCACCAAACUUGUCUGCUAUUCAUCCGGUAUUUCAUGUUUCCAUGCUAAGGAAGUAUAUGUCAGAUCCAUCGCAUGUAUUAGAGGUCUAUCCCAUUGAAUUGAGAGAUGAUAUGGUUUAUGAGGUGCAACCGGAAGCUAUAGUCGACCGACAAGUGAGGAAGCUUAGGUCGAAGGAUAUAGCUUCAGUGAAAGUGAAAUGGAAAGGUCAUUCACGUGAGGAAGCGACCUGGGAGCUCGAGGAUAAGAUGCGUGAGGAGUAUCCUCAUCUUUUUGAUAAUCUCGGUAAGUAUUCAAUCUUUUCUAUUAAGUUUCGAGGACGAAACUUUUAUAAGGUGGGGAGAUUGUAAUGUUUUGUAUUAAAAGAUAGGAAAUGGCAACAAGGCCCUUGAAUGCUUAGAUGUAGGAAUAAAUUAAAUGAGGGGUAGUGUGGUAAUUGAACAAUAGUUGAUAUAUAUAAAUAGAGAGAAGGAAAAAAAAAACAAAAGAGAGAUCUGAAAAAUUUGAGAGAGAAUCGGCAGGAGAGAAGGGAGAAAGAAGAAGAAGAGAAAAGAGGGGGAAAUAAGGGAAAAAGGAAAGGAGUUGAAGAGAAUAAGUUUAAAGGUAAGAUUUAGGUUGUUAAAUGUAUAAAUGUAUGUUAAUUGAGCUUAAUUUCAGUUUUGAUGAAUGUUAGGGUUUUGAAAAUUUGUGUUUUGGGUUUAAUUGAUGAAUUAAAUUGAAUGUUAUAAGGUUGAUUGUUAUGGGUAAUUGAUUAAUGAGUUGAUUAUGGAAGAUUGUGAUGAUUUUGAGUUAUGAAUUGUGUAAAUGGUGAAUGUUGAGUUAUAAAUUUGGCAAGAACAAUAGGUAAUCUGUUAAAAUUCUGGAUUGGAGGUUGAAGAUGACGAAAAUUCAAUUUGGUCCCUCAAUUUUGGAAAAUUACAGUUUAGUCCCCGAACUUUGGAAAAUUUGCAGAUUGGUCCCUGGGGCAUAUUCCGAGAUUCUGAACAGAAUAACAUAUGAAUUAUGGACAGAAUUACUGUAUAGAUAAGAGAAUUUAACACUUUCAAUUUAGUCCUCCAAUUUGACAAAAUUACAAUUUGACCCUAAAAAUUUGGUAAAAUUCCAGAAUGGUCCUUGGAGUAUAAUGAGAUGAUCUGGACAGAAAUGAGGACUAAUUAUGGUCAGAAUUUCAGUAUAUUCAUGGAUUUAUGAUAAAUUUCAGUUUGGUCCUUCAAUUAGACAAAAAUUGCAAUUUGACCCUUAAAAAUAGGAUAAAUUACAGAUUAGUCCCUAGCUGUAAUACUAGCUUUUGCAGAUUGGUUUGAUGAAUAAUUAAGGGUUAUUUAGUGAACUAUUUCCAAUUUUAUUAGUUGUUUUAUUAUGGAUUAGAUUUCGGGAAAACCGUUAAAUUUUGGGUUUUUGAGAAAAUUGAUUAGUGAGUUCAAAAACAUAUAUGAUUACGGAAUACACCCUUAGUUAAGUGUAUUAAAUAAGUUAAAUGUUCUUUUGAGUCGUUCUUGAAUAUGUCUCCUUUGUAUUCAGAUAAUCCUGAUAUUCUACCGAUAGGACGUCAGUAGGAUUUUCUUCGGUGUCUGCUUUUGGCUUCUGUUUGCUUUUGAGUCAGGUGAGUGGAUAAUUUUCCAUAUGCAUGAGAAAUAGUAUAAAUAUUUGAUUUGUUAAUAUGAAUUGAAUCAUGCUUCUUGAUAAUAUAUAUGUUGAUUAUUAUCCUUGUUUUGAUAAAGCAUGAUCAAUUGUUGAAUCCGAAUUCUUGAUAUGAACCAGUAUAUAUUUUGAAUUGAAUUCUGAAUUGAUAGCUCCUCAUUUGAUUGAUGUCAUGAGUUGAGCCUUGAGAUAUGAAUAUGUCUGUUUGCUUAUGAUUAUGAUUAUGAACCUAUGGUAUGUUAGUCAGAAUACCCAUGCUAACAGGGUAGUGUUAGUCUUUGUGCACAUCGUAUCCGAACCCUAGUUGGUCGGGGGAGUCACCAACCUGUGUGGACUGAUCAUCCCACAGUACGGAGCCUCAUGCUCAUUGCAUUUUGAUUUUCUGACGAGCUUUACCAUAUGAUAUUCUUGUUAUGGCCUAUUUGAGAAACCUUUCUAUACGAACCUAGAGCCAUACUUGUAUAUAUAUUUCUCAUUGCUGUAUUACCUCGUGUGUGUAUAUUGAACGUUAUCUACUCACUGAGUUGUUGAACUCACCCUCUCAUUAUUUAUCCUUUUCAGGCUUAUAGCUUGAUAGCAGGUCACUUUUGUUGGACUUUCCGAACCUGCUCUUUUGGUUGUAAUUUGUACCUUUUCCUUUAUGUCUAGUUAGUGCUCCAAAACUCUGAAUUUAUAUUAGCUCUUGUAUUAAGACAACUAAAUUAUAUUAUGAAGUUGAUUUUGUUGUUAAUGCUGCGUUGAACUCUGAUUGAGUUAGGAUAAGUUUGUGUGUAAGUUUGGGUUCGCAUAGGUAUGGAACCUUGGAGGGGAACCUUGCCUAUGUGCCGGUCAUGGAUCCGGGAUUCGGGUCGUGACACUCCUAUUGAGCAAUUAUCAGUACACCACCGGUCCGCGCAUGGGGAGCCGGAAUCCCCAACAAGAAAUUCUCAUUGUUCAUGUUAAAGACCUCGAAAUUCCAAAAUUAUAGCUAUCUAAAUGCUGAUCCCUUACACUCUUCGAAAUUGACCUUCAUCUUUUGGAUUUUAUGAGUUGGUAAACCUGCUAUUAAUCAGCGGACCGUGAGAAACCAAAAAUCAGAACAUAUUUUCAGACUGGUUUUAUUAAGUACAUACAAUUUAGUUUACAUGACUCAGGUUUAUGGAGUAUCUAGAUGAAGCUUAGACCACCCCUCCAUUGAUGCUUUGUGGACCUGAACUGUGAUGUUUUGAAUUAAAAGAGAUAGGAAAAGGCAACAAAGCUCUUGGAGGCUUAAAGAGUGGGUAUAAGUAAAUGAGGGGUAGUGUGGUAAUUAAAUAAACAUAAUAAGUAUAAAUAGAAAAAAAAAGAGAGAGAUCUGAAAUCAAGAGUGAUGAUGGGAUAAGAGAAGAAAAGGGGAAGAAGAAGAAGAUAAAAGAGGUAAAGAUAAGGGAAAUAGAAGAUAAUUGAAGAAAAUAAGUUUAAAGAUAAGAUUUAGGUUGUUAAAUGUAUAAAUGUGUGUUCUUUGAGUUUUAAAUUUCUGUUUUGAUAAAUGUUAGGGUUUUGAAGAUUGUGUUUUGGGUUGAUUGAUGAAUUAAUUUGAAUGUUAUGGGUUGAUUGUUGUGGGUAAUGAGUUGUUUAGUUGAUUUUGAAAGAUUUUAGGUAAAGAUGAUGAUUUUGAGUUAUGAUUUGUGUAAAUGGUGAAUUUUGAGUUAGAAAUCUUGAGAUAACAGUAGGUUUUCUGUGGAAAUUCUGGGUUUGAGGUUGAAGAUGACAAAAUUUCAGUUUGGACCCUCAAUUUAUAAAACUUACAGUUUAGUCCCUAAACUUUGAAAAAAUUACAAAUUUACCCUAAAAUUUUGGAAAAAAAUCCAGAAUGGUCCCUGGAGCAUAAUUAGAGAUUCUGGACAAAAAUGAGGAUGAAUUAUGGAUAUAAUUCCACUAUAGUCAUGAAUUUAUGAUAUUUUUAGGUUGGUCCUCCAAUUUGACAAAGUUACAAUUUAACCCUUAAAAAUAUGAUAAAUUCCAGAUUGGUCUCUAUCUGUAAUAUUAGCUUUUGCAAAUUGGUUUGAUGAAUAAAUGAGGGUUAUUUAAUGAAUUAUUAUCAAGUCUUAUUAUUUGUUUUAUUAUGAAUUAGAUUUCGAGAAAACCGUUUAAUUUUGGGUUUUUGGGAAAAUAACUAGUUUAGUAUAAAAACAUAUAGGGUUGUGAAAUAUACCCUUAGUUAGGUAUAUUAAAUAGGUUAUAUGUUCUUUCAAGUCGUUCUUGAAUAUGUCUCAUUUGUAUUCAGAUAAUCCUGAUAUUCUACCGGCGGGAUGUUAGUAGGAUUUCCUUCGGUAUCUGCUUUUGAGUGUUGUUUCCUUUCGAAUCAGGUGAGUGGAUAAUUUUUCAUAUGUAUAAGAAAUAUUAUAAAUAUUUGAGUUGUUAAUAUGAAUUGGAUCAUGCUUCUUGAUAAUAUAUAUAUAUAUAUAUAUAUAUAUAUAUAUAUAUAUAUAUGUUGAUUAUUAUCCUUGUUACGAUAAAACAUGAUCAAUUGUUGAAUCUGAAUUCUUGAUAUGAACCAAUAUAUAUUUUGAAUUGACUUUUGAAUUGAUAACUCCUCAUUUGAUUGAUGUCAUGAGUUAAGUUUUAAGAUAUGAAUAUGUUUGUUUGAUUAUGAUUAUAAAUCUAUGGUAUGCUAGUUAGAAUACUCAUGCUAACAAGGUAGUGUUAGUUUUUGUGCACAUCAUAUCUGAACUCUAGUUGGUCGGGGGAGUCACCAACCUGUGUGAACUGAUCAUCGCACAGUAUGGAGCCUCAUGCUCGGGGGAGUCACCAACCUGUGUGAACUGAUCAUCGCACAGUAUGGAGCCUCAUGCUCAUUGCAUUUUGAUUUUCUGAUGAGCUUUACCUUAUGAUAUUUUUGUUAUGGCCUAUUUGAGAAACCUUCUUAUAAGAACAUAAAGUUAUAUAUAUAUCAUUGUUGUAUUACCUCGUGUGUGUGUAUUGAGCGUUAUAGUACACUGAAUUGUUGAACUCACUCCCUCAUUAUUUAUCUUUUCAGGCUUAUAGCUUGUUAGCGGGUUAUUUUAUUGGACCUUCAGAACCUGCUCUUUUGUUUAAAUUAGUAUUUUCCUUUUAUGUCUAGUUAGUGCUCCAUAACUAUGAAAUUGUAUUAACUUUUGUAUUAAGACAAUUAAAUUAUAUUAUAAAGUUAAUUUUGUUAUUAAUGCUGCGUUGAACUCUGAUUGAGUUAGGAGAAAUUUGUAUGUAAGUUUGGGUUCGCAUAGGUAUGGAACUUUGGAGGAGAACCUUGUCUAUGUGCCGGUUAUUGAUCCGGGAAUUAGGUCGUGACAUGAACUAUAUAUUUCUAGUGAGUUUUGAGAUUUUUGGCUUUGUUGGAUUGUUUUUACAACUUUAAAAUAAACAUUUUUUGAGCAAGUUUCGUGCUGUGAAAAUAAUCAAGAGUACCAGUAAUGAAAGGAAGAACUUCUGGAAACGUAUGACAGAAAAUAGGACAAAAUUGGUAGGAUGCACUGAUUGAGAUUCAGAAGCAAUACCUAGCUUUAGCUUCUGCAAAUCCUGUGAACUGUGAAGCAUACUACCAGAAUGGUUUGCUUUCUCGUACAAAAGAAAACCAUCCUAUUCAAAGAAAACCUUUGUCUAACCCAACGGGGAUAGUUAGGAGAAUGACUUGGGACCUAAGUGGGAUUUGGUUUGUGGUUAGACCAGUUACGAUGUUGCCCAUCAAAACCAUCAAUUUCCUCACAAAUUGAAUUAGAUAGAAGAACAUAUUCAAAUCAGUAAAAGAAUUAGAUUGAAUUAGAUCCUAUUCAAAGAAAACAUCUGAGAAUGUUGGUGAAGUCUUGCCUUCAAUACAAGAUAGUGAAACAGUAAAAGAAAUGAAUGUAGUAUAAGACAUGAAGACAUUCUUAUAAAUAUAAAAAUCAGUUCUUGUUAAGAAAAUAAUUACUGACAUUUCAUGCAUGCAUACAGAAAGCAAUGAUCAAUCAACUAACUUAAACAUUAUACACGCUGUCCUACUAUCCAAGUAGAUGAGAGGAAACGUAAGAGAGACUUGUAAUUAGAAGCAAACUACAGCUUCAAGAUGUAGAAUGUCUACGCAAAAACUAAUCUAUCUUGCCUCUACCAGUGAAAUCGAGCAUUGGUUUGUUGAAUAUCGUUUGCUGUGGCUUGGUAGAUUACUCGCUUCAAUAACGUCCCUUGCAGUAAAAUAACCCGGCUGUUUAGGCUGAGGCAAUUUAUCUUCAUUACCUAGCAUCAAAACCACAUACGAAAUGCUUGGCCUAUCUUCAGGACUUUCUUGCACGCAUAACAGCCCCAAUUGAAUCACACGUAGCACUUCAGAUAAAUUGCAUGUUUCAAUCGUCGAUUCCGCAAUCAGUUCCGAUGGCCUGCCUUCAUUAAACAGUGUCCAAGCCUGUUAAGAUAAAUCAUGUUACUAAAAUGAGAUCUCAUACCCAGAACUAAAAAAAAACCUUAAGUUUUUUUUAUGGCAGUACUUACAUGUCCAAGUAGGUUGAGUUGGUGAUCUGAAUGAUAGAAUCCUCUGUUCCUGUUGCCACUUACUGUCUCUAACACCAAUACACCAAAGCUGAAGACAUCUGAUUUUAAUGAGUAGAGUCCAUGGAAUGCAUACUCUGGAGAUAUGUAGCCACUGGAAAUAUUCAAAGAAUGUUAGAUGGCAUCUGUCAGAAUUGGAAGUAAACUAUGUAUGCUGGAAACACUUACUAUGUCCCCACCACUUUCCUUGUUUUGGAUUCAGUUUCAUUUCCUUCAACACCUCUCGCCAUCCCGAAGUCUGAAAUUUUUGGGUGCAUGUUGUAAUCUAAUAAAAUAUUGCUGGCUUUUAGAUCUCUGUGAAUUACUCUUAGUCUUGAAUCUUGGUGAAGAUAAAGUAGUCCACGAGCAAUCCCAUUGAUAAUAUUGUAACGCUUAGGCCAAUCUAAUAGCACGCUCCGUGUGUCAUCUAUCUCAAUUACAUAUUUUUCACACGUCAAUCCAUGUCCUUAUCAGAUUCUUAAAUGCAUGUCAAAGAACCACUUGGAUCCUACUUAAAUUAUCAUUACAAUGAUGAAAAUAUUAAUGAAGUAUAAAUGAUCAAGUAAAUCGGUAUAGGUUAGAGAUCCAAACCAAAAAUAAAGAAGUCCAAGCUUUUGUUAGGCAAGAACUCGUAAAUCAACAUCUUUUCCUCUCCUUCAAUGCAGCAUCCUAGAAGCUUCACUAGAUUCCGGUGCUGAAGGUUCACUAUAUGCCUGACUUCAUUUUUGAACUCAUCGAGGCCUUGUCUCGAACUCUUAGAGAGCCUCUUCACAGCUAUUUCAAGUCCAUCUUUCAGUGUCCCCUGAUUAUCAUAAGCAACUAAAUAAUAUUUAGUCCUUUGAGAUUGAGUUGAGAAUCAUAAUAUGAUGUCGCGUAGAACUUGCAUGGAAAGUAAUAGUUUAAUACCUUAUAAACAUGUCCGACUCCUCCUCCUCCCAGCAUAUUGUUAAGAGAAAAGUUAUUUGUUGCAGAAGCCAAGGUAUCUAUUGUAAACAACAAUACUUCCAGAUCUUUGUUCUUGUGCUUGUUAUUUGAACUUAUUCCCGAAACACCAGUCAUUUUUCCUGCCAGAAGAGAAGAAAGAAUGGAUCUCUAUUCUCUGCUAAAUACAGAUCUCUUAAGAAAAUCAAGUACAGUGAUCUCUUUAACAAUUUUCGGUCGUAGAUUGGAUUACUAAAACUCAACUUUGAAAACAAACUAAACUGCCUAUAUCAAUAGAAUAUGGAAACAGAGGGGAAGGGGCAUAGAAGAGGUUAGAAUUUCAUGGUGUGAGUGUAACAUACUGUUUUUCAUCUGAUGCCUUUUCCAAACAUAAAAGACCAGGGCCAGGCCAAGGAACAGAAUUCCUGUAGACAACACGACGCGUAGUAUGAUCCUUUUCUUCUCUUUGGCUUUCGUUUCAAUCUUUACACCAUAACCGUUAUCUGCACAUCAAGGAGUAAAAAAACUAAAGUUAAAAGAUAAUAACAGGUAAUGCCACUAUGCUAUGUAUUUGUUUUGUUAGUUAAUAUGGCUUGAGAAUUUUCAUUAGCUAUCUGGAUCCUUUCAUCACAGUUCAUAUGAUAACUUCAUACCUAGUUCUGAAGCAGCCAUCCUUAUAUAAAUGUCUGGUUCAUUUUCAACAAGUAUUCUAACAUCAAGCAGAUCAUUGAACCAGAGCAAGCAUCCAUUUCCUCCAUCCCUGAUAUCUAAAUUUGAAUAAGCUGUACAACUGCAGUUAUUCAAGCACGUGUUCUUGCACUCUUCAAGAUUCAUGCUCCUGUUAAACCAUGAUGUUUUUGUCUGAGGCAACUUCACAGCCGAGACCUUUUGAAACCCGUCUCCAGAGCAAUUUAGUGGAGUCCUUCUAACACAACCACUUGACCAGUCCAUCAACUCCCAUUCGCUUUGAACUUUUGGUACAAAUCCAUUCAAGCAACCACACAUUGGAGAGCUGUUGAUACUACAGAUACCAUUUGCACCACACAGUGCAAAACGUUCACAAUUAUCGGUAUCUAAGGUGAGAUAAAGCAGCCAACUUUGUGUUUGUUCAAUCCACGUGAAGCGCAGGACAUCACCACCCUGAGUUACCAUGACCCUCCACGGCAUUGACUCACUGAGAACAUGAUAUCUGUAAAAUAUCUCCUCCUCAUUAAAAACAAAUUCAAUUGAGUAUUUGGGAUUUGGGAUUUGGUUUUGAUUGAGGCAUGCCACUGAACCUCAGACCAUUCCACGGUCCAGACCGGUGCUUAACAAUUGAAUUCUCCACCACAAUUAUCUCAGGAUAUCCAUAAGGAACAAGAAUUACUGAAACAUUACCUCUUGAAGGAUCAUCCGGUGACUUCCAGGAUGUAAUGUAAGAGUCCAUCCCUGUUAUUCUAUUCCGUCCUAGCUUCAUUUCAGGCAAUAAUGUAUCAGCUGGAUGUUCAAAACUCUGCCACAAGGAGCUUUCCAGGUUAUCAUCACCCUCCUCCUUCACAACAAGGUUUCCUGAAUCCAAAAGUUGAGCGGCUGGAUUAGUCGCAGGUCGCGAUGAGUCGGAAGACCAAACUAUGCUCCCGUUCCGAUUUGAAAGGACGAGAAUUCCUUGGUUGGUAAGCCUUAAAACACCUGAUGAAUCAUUAAGUGGGGUUUCUCUGUUGGCAACCCAAACUACAGUCAUCACAGAUAUUUUAGCAUACCAUACCCCCAAGUAUCGGUUUGCAGAAUUCCCCGGGCUAAAAAAUCCCAACUCAUAGGCUCCAUUAGCUGAAAGAAUAGUAUCACCAUCUCUAAUGGAUUGAGUUGUGUUUAUGGUGUCAAUUGCAGUGGAUGUAUCAAUAAUCAACAAUAAAAAGAGAAAUAUGGGAGCUAUGCGAUCCAUUGUUGUUCUCAUGAUUUCUUUGCAGCUCACAUCUUUUAUUUCAAAGACAGACUUAGAUGUAGAAAUACUCCAUGUAAAAAAAAAAUUGCAAUCAUAUUAAUUAGUUCCAUCUAGAGGUGAAUUAGUGAUUUGACAGGCAGUGUUGUUAAGUUUUAUUUCUAAAUGACAACGCAAUUUCUAUAUUUAUUUUCAAAAAUUGACAUGCAGUGUUGUUAAGCUUAGUAAAGCUGAAUUAGUGAUUUGCAUGGUCCGUUGGACUUGGACGAGUAGACUUGUACUCCCCUUCAUCUAAAAUUCUUUCAUUAUCCAGCAAACCUUGUAUACCAUUACUAUUACGAUAUAUUUCUGUUGGUGUUUAUUAAUAAGUAUAGCAAAAGAUUAUUUUGUUUACUAAUAGAUACAGCAAGAGUUUAUUGAUAGAUCUGUUGAUAUUUUUAUUCGUAUUUAUUAAUUUUGUGACUUGACAUUCAAUAAUAGCCAUACAAAUUUAAGAAGCUAAUUGGUUGUUUGACUUCAAAUGCAAUUAAUUAGCCAGCAUUUGCUUUUGUUUUUUUUUUUUUUUCUUUUUUUUUUUAAUUUUACCCUUUAAAAUUAGAUUUGUUUUUUUUUACAUUCAAUAAUAGUCACAAGGCUACUUCGUUUGAGAUGUUUUUAUGAUUUCAGCCAUGAAGAAUAGAUAUUUUAAAUUCUCUCAUACUUAUUGUAUUGAAUAUUUAUCAAAAGUAUCUAAGGGGCAGAAUUAUAAAAUUUAGAGGAGGCCAGAAUUGGACACCCAUCUUAGUGUAAGAGUGUAUUAAUUGGACACCCAUCUUCAAAUGAUUUUAUUUCUAUAAAGAUAAACCUGAACAAGACAAGUUCAUCAACCCUUAAGAACAAGUAUAGAAUAUACAAUGCAUCCUAGGGAUGGUUAUAUAGCAUAACAACAUAAUGUGUAAAAUCUAAUCUUCCCCAUCAUGUUCCAUGAGUGUACAUUAACCUACUACCAUAGCUUAGAACAUGGUUACAUUAUAAACUUUUUUUAGUUUGUGUGCCAAGCUUAUUGUCUGUUUUAACCUAAGCAUAUCUACUAAAAUGAGCUAAACCAAGCUCUUCGUUCUCGCCCAACGAGUGAAUGAAAGUAUCAAAGCUUAUUUAAAAAUAUUUAAUGAAUAAGUGUUUAAUGUGGAAGGUUUACUAGAACCUAUUAUUAUUGCGACCUUAAUUAGUGGGGUACACAACUAAUUUUCAUGGAAACUGUUUGUAAUGUUUUGUAUUAAAAGAUAGGAAAUGGCAACAAGGCCCUUGAAUGCUUAGAUGUAGGAAUAAAUUAAAUGAGGGGUAGUGUGGUAAUUGAACAAUAGUUGAUAUAUAUAAAUAGAGAGAAGGAAAAAAAAAAAAAAAACAAAAGAGAGAUCUGAAUUUUGAGAGAGAACCGGCAGGAGAGAAAGGGAGAAAGAAGAAGAAGAAGAGAAAAGAGGGAAAUUAGAAAGGAAAUAGAAAGGAGUUGGAGAAAAUAAGUAAAAAGGUAAGAUUAUGUAUAAAUAUAUGUUAAUUAAGCUUUAAUUUCGAUUUUGAUAAAUGUUAGGGUUAUGAAAUUUGUGUUUUGGGUUUGAUUGAUGAUUUAAUUUGAAUAUUAUAGAGUUAAUUGUUGUGGGUAUUUGAUUAUUUGGAUGAUUUUGAGAGAUUGAAUUGAAAGAUGAUGAUUUUGAGUUAUGAUUUUGUUUGAAUGGUGAAUGUUGAGUUAGAAAUUUGGCAAGAACAGUAGGUUUCUGUUAAAAAUUCUGGGUUGGAGGUUGAAGAUGACGAAAAUUCAAUUUGGUCCCUCAAUUUUGGAAAAUUACAGUUUAGUCCCCAAACUUUGGAAAAUUUGCAGAUUGGUCCCUGGAGCAUAUUCCGAGAUUCUGAACAGAAUAACAUAUGAAUUAUGGACAGAAUUACUGUAUAGAUAAGAGAAUUUAACACUUUCAAUUUAGUCCUCCAAUUUGACAAAAAUUACAAUUUGACCCUAAAAAUUUGGUAAAAUUCCAGAAUGGUCCUUGGAGUAUAAUGAGAUGAUCUAGACAGAAAUGAGGACUAAUUAUGGUCAGAAUUUCAGUAUAUUCAUGGAUUUAUGAUAAAUUUCAGUUUGGUCCUCCAAUUAGACAAAAAUUACAAUUUGGCCCUAAAAAUAUGAUAAAUUACAGAUUAGUCCCUAGCUGUAAUAUUAUCCUUUUCAGAUUGGUUUGAUGAAUAAUUGAGGGUUAUUUAGUGAAUUAUUAUCAAGUUUUAUUAUUUGCUUUAUUAUGGAUUAGAUUUCGGGAAAACCGUUAAAUUUUGGGUUUUAGGAAAAAUAACUAGUUAGUUCAAAAACAUAUAGGGUUAUGGAAUGCACCCUUAGAUAAGUGUAUUAAAUGGGUUAUAUAUUCCUUUGAGUUAUUCUUGAAUAUGCCUUCUUUGUAUUCAGAUAAUCCUGAUAUUCUACCGGCGGGACGUCAGUAGGAUUUUCUUCAGUAUUUGCUUUUGACUUCUGUUUGCUUUCGAGUCAGGUGAGUGGAUAAUUUUCCAUAUGCAUGAGAAAUAGUAUAAAUAUUUGAUUUGUUAUUAUGAAUUGAAUCAUGCUUCUUGAUAAUAUAUAUGUUGAUUAUUAUCCUUGUUAUGAUAAAGCAUGAUCAAUUGUUGAAUCUGAAUUCUUGAUAUGAACCAGUAUAUAUUUUGAAUUGAAUUCUGAAUUGAUAGCUCCUCAUUUGAUUGAUGUCAUGAGUUGAGCCUUGAGAUAUGAAUAUGUCUGUUUGAAUAUGAUUAUGAACCUAUGGUAUGUCAGUCAGAAUACCCAUGCUAACAGGGUAGUGUUAGUCUUUGUGCACAUCGUAUCUGAACCCUAGUUGGUCGGGGGAGUCACCAACCUGUGUGGACUGAUCAUCCCACAGUACGGAGCCUCAUGCUCAUUGCAUUUUGAUUUUCUGACUAGUUUUACCAUAUGAUAUUCUUGUUAUGGCCUAUUUGAAAAACCUUUCCAUAAGAACCUAAAGCCAUACUUGUAUAUAUAUUUCUCAUUGCUGUAUUACCUCGUGUGUGUAUAUUGAACGCUAUCUAGUCACUGAGUUGUUGAACUCACCAUCUCAUUAUUUAUCCUUUUCAGGCUUAUAGCUUGAUAGCAGGUCAUUUUGUUGGACCUUCAGAACCUGCUUUUUGGUUGUAAUUUGUACCUUCCUUUUAUGUCAAGUUAGUGCUCCAAAACUAUGAAUUAUAUUAACUCUUGUAUUAAGACAAUUCAAUUAUAUUAUGAAGUUGAUUUUGUUGUUAAUGCUGCGUUGAACUCUGAUUGAGUUAGGAUAAGUUUGUGUGUAAGUUUGGGUUCGCAUAGGUAUGGAACCUUGGAGGGGAACCUUGCC
rnacentral:lncRNA from 1 species